CCCCUCUCAGGACCGUACCUGGAGAGUUUCCUGUACUCAACCAGUCUCGGCUCGGGAGGGAGAGUCAAGCAGAAGCCUACCCAUUCCAUUCCUAGCUUGGGCAGUGGCUAGUGAAUAGAAGGCAAUCUGCUACAAGU